UCGCCGACACAUAUUGCAAUUGUUCAACCAUUCCAAAACAGUCUCCAGAUUAAAUCGGACAGUAGACUCAAAUUUGAACGCAAGGUGUCCCAUAAUCAAACGUUGCAGACCGGUCCAUUUAGUGUUUUUCAAUUCCAACAACCGUUUGAAAAUAAAUUUUUCAACUACUGGUUUUUAAUUACUGGAACGACUUCGACAACUUCGGAACUAAAUUUCCCUAGAGCUGAAUAUUUCUGCGACAGAAAUCGUGAGGGUCGAAUACACCGAGAACAUAAUCUAGUUUUUAGGAAAAAUGAUUUUAAACCAGAUGUACACACUCGUCCUUCUCCUGACAAUCAUCACGGUUAUUGGUGUGGCAUCAGGCCAGUCCGGGGAUUACACUGACGAUCUGUACGAGCCCUCUGUUCCUGACAACUACCCCUGCACUGGAACUCACUUCAAGUGGUACUGCCAGUACUGUCAGUGUGAGGAUGGUGUCGUUGGAGGCUGCACGAGGAACAUAUGCCCCACCGGAAUCUGGAGACGCGACGGAACUCUGAUCCGUGAAAAUAUAUUUUUUUUUUAAUACCUGCCUCGAAAGUUCACUUUUUGAAACCGUUCAGUGUGUGUAAAGCGAUUGUUUUACGCACACCGCGCACGAAAGCAACCACUUUACCCCUACUACGGUUUCGAAAAGUGAACUCGGCAGGUAUUAGAAAAAAUCGGAUGUGUUACGCGUGCGUACGAACAAGUGUUUCUUUACGCAUUUGUAAUAGAAUAUACUAUUAAUGGAUUGAUGAUGGCUAAGUUGUUGUCAAAGACAAUCAACUAGAGCAUAUUUCGAUACGAUUGCGGGAAAGUGUUUCUGGGCUCGUGGGAGGUUUAUAGCACGAGC